rnacentral:lncRNA from 1 species
CAAUCCAGCCUGAAGGACUUAGCUCAUAGAUGUCUUCUGAAAUGUGGAAGAAAUACUUUCGUUUGUCGUAAAAGCUCAGCUGGAGAUUGGAGUCUGGACGAGGGAGGGGAGAAGAGGAGGACCUCAGGGAGAUUGUUUUGCUUAUUGGUGUUUAAUUAAAAACCAAACAACUUUUCCUAUUAACUUGAUGCUACUUAUUAAUUCAAAUGAGGAGACUGACUCUGGAUAUUGGGAAAAUUUAUGGGCACAUACAGAGGAAAAGACAUGUGGGGACAUAAUGAGAGGACAGCCAUCUGCAAGCC